UAGACAUACAGGAGAGAGGCUUUAAUAGUGUUACACACCCCCUUGGUACAUAAUGAAUGAAAACACUAGUCUUCAGGGUGGAAUUGUUACACCUCAGGAGCCAAUAAAAACGUUGCUGUAAUUAGUGUGAAUUAUAGAUGCCAUUUUAUAGCCGAGUGCUGAUUGGUUGCUGUUUCUGACUAGCCCAGAGACUGACAACACUUCAGUGAUGUGACGGUGAGUGAGUGAGAGGGCGAGUGUGACAGGACCUUUUAUUUAGCCAUAUUUUUGCUUCAUUGCAGCAGAGAAGAGACAGCUGCUCGAUUUGCAGCCCUCACUUCAUCACUCGCUGCCGUCACGUCCCUGCAGUACUGCGUUGGGAUAUGAAAUAUGGGCCAGGCCGGUGAUACGGGCCGCACUGCCGUACUCCUCCCUCCCUGCCCACUUAAUGAACUUCAGGCGCGGACAGUGACAGUUCAGAGGCGAGCAAAGCUGCCGGGAAUUGCCUUCAACCCAAACACAGUCCAGUGAUACCGACACUAUGACAUGGCUUUGGGGCCUGGGAGUGGAGAGCUGGCAGAAUGGCGCUACCACUAACCCAGUAGUGGAAGGAAGCAGUGCUCCACCUCUCUCCAGAUCAUCAUGACUACAGAUCUGCAACAUUAAAAGAACAGGGGAAGUGACCCAGAGGAGGGAAGAUGAUAGUGAUACACUCCAGGAUCAUAAAG